rnacentral:rRNA from 1 species
UACGGGGGGGGCAAGCGUUGUUCGGAAUUACUGGGCGUAAAGGGCUCGUAGGUGGCCAACUAAGUCAGACGUGAAAUCCCCCGGCUUAACCUGGGAACUGCGUCUGAUACUGGGAGGCUAGAGUAUGGGAGAGGGAUGUAGAAUUCCAGGUGUAGCGGUGAAAUGCGUAGAUAUCUGGAGGAGUACCGGUGGCGAAGGCGGCAUCCUGGACCAUUACUGACGCUGAGGCGCGAAAGCUAGGGGAGCAAACGGG